rnacentral:SRP_RNA from 1 species
AGGUCGGUUGCGGACGAACGCCUCGCCAACCCGGUCAGAUCUGGAAGGAAGCAGCCGUAACGAGAUUUGCUUCGGGUCGCGUACCGGUCUCCC